rnacentral:rRNA from 1 species
AUUGAACGCUAGCGGGAUGCUUUACACAUGCAAGUCGAACGGCAGCGCGGACUUCGGUCUGGCGGCGAGUGGCGAACGGGUGAGUAAUGUAUCGGAACGUGCCCAGUAGCGGGGGAUAACUACGCGAAAGCGUAGCUAAUACCGCAUACGCCCUACGGGGGAAAGCAGGGGAUCGUAAGACCUUGCACUAUUGGAGCGGCCGAUAUCGGAUUAGCUAGUUGGUGGGGUAACGGCUCACCAAGGCGACGAUCCGUAGCUGGUUUGAGAGGACGACCAGCCACACUGGGACUGAGACACGGCCCAGACUCCUACGGGAGGCAGCAGUGGGGAAUUUUGGACAAUGGGGGCAACCCUGAUCCAGCCAUCGCGCGUGUGCGAUGAAGGCCUUCGGGUUGUAAAGCACUUUUGGCAGGAAAGAAACGUCGCGGGCUAAUACCCCGUGGAACUGACGGUACCUGCAGAAUAAGCACCGGCUAACUACGUG